GCUAGCAUGGUGUAGUGGUUUGAGUGUUGGACUAUGACUCUGGAGGCCAGGGUUCUAUUCCCAGCUCAACCA